AUUGAACGCUGGCGGCAGGCCUAACACAUGCAAGUCGAACGGUAACAGGAAGAAGCUUGCUUCUUUGCUGACGAGUGGCGGACGGGUGAGUAAUGUCUGUGAAACUGCUUGAUGGAGGGGGUUAACUACUGGAAACGGUAGCUAAUACCGCAUAACGUCGCAAGACCAAAGAGGGGGACCUUCGGGCCUCUUGCCAUCGGCUGUGCCCAGAUGGGAUUAGCUAGUAGGUGGGGUAACGGCUCACCUAGGCGACGAUCCCUAGCUGGUCUGAGAGGAUGACCAGCCACACUGGAACUGAGACACGGUCCAGACUCCUACGGGAGGCAGCAGUGGGGAAUAUUGCACAAUGGGCGCAAGCCUGAUGCAGCCAUGCCGCGUGUAUGAAGAAGGCCUUCGGGUUGUAAAGUACUUUCAGUGGGGAGGAAGGGAGUAAAGUUAAUACCUUUGCUCAUUGACGUUACCCGCAGAAGAAGCACCGGCUAACUCCGUG
rnacentral:rRNA from 1 species